rfam:Hepatitis C virus genotype 6, complete genome
AACCGUCGCCCAAUGGACGUCAAGUUCCCGGGCGGCGGCCAGAUCGUUGGUGGAGUUUACUUGCUGCCGCGCAGGGGCCCACGAUUGGGUGUGCGCGCCACAAGAAAGACAUCCGAGCGAUCCCAGCCCAGAGGUA